rfam:Mesocricetus auratus contig017959, whole genome shotgun sequence.
ACCAGGAUGGCCGAGUGGUUAAGGCGUUGGACUUAAGAUCCAAUGGACGUAUGUCUGCGUGGGUUCGAACCCCACUCCUGGUA